rnacentral:tRNA from 1 species
CCCAUGGUGGUGCAGUGGUUAGCACUCUUGCCUCUCAAGUAAAUUCCGAGUUUGAGUCCCGGCUGGCC